rnacentral:rRNA from 1 species
GACGAACGCUGGCGGCGUGCUUAACACAUGCAAGUCGAGCGAUGAAGCACCUUCGGGUGUGAAUUAGCGGCGAACGGGUGAGGAACACGUGAGAAAUCUGCCUUCAACUCUGGGAUAACUCCGUGAAAACGGGGCUAAUACCGGAUAUGAAACCUGCGGGCAUCCGCGGGUUUGGAAAGUUUUUCGGUUGAAGAUGAUCUCGCGGCCUAUCAGCUUGUUGGUGAGGUAAUGGCUCACCAAGGCGACGACGGGUAGCCGGCCUGAGAGGGCGACCGGCCACACUGGGACUGAGACACGGCCCAGACUCCUACGGGAGGCAGCAGUGGGGAAUAUUGCGCAAUGGGCGAAAGCCUGACGCAGCAACGCCGCGUGCGGGAUGAAGGCCUUCGGGUUGUAAACCGCUUUCAGCAGGGAAGAAGCGAAAGUGACGGUACCUGCAGAAGAAGCACCGGCUAACUACGUGCCAGCAGCCGCGGUAA